UACGUAGGUGGCAAGCGUUGUCCGGAUUUAUUGGGCGUAAAGCGAGCGCAGGCGGUUUCUUAAGUCUGAUGUGAAAGCCCCCGGCUCAACCGGGGAGGGUCAUUGGAAACUGGGAAACUUGAGUGCAGAAGAGGAGAGUGGAAUUCCAUGUGUAGCGGUGAAAUGUGUAGAGAUUAGGAAGAAUACCAAUGGCGAAGGCGCCUUUCUGGACUGUAACUGACACUGAGGCUCGAAAGCGUGGGGAGCAAACAGGAUUAGAUACCCUGGUAGUCCACGCCGUAAACGAUGAGUGCUAAGUGUUGGAGGGUUUCCGCCCUUCCGUGCUGCAGCAAACGCAUUAAGCACUCCGCCUGGGGAGUACGACCGCAAGGUUGAA
rnacentral:rRNA from 1 species